rnacentral:rRNA from 1 species
GACGAACGCUGGCGGCGUGCCUAAUACAUGCAAGUUGAGCGCUGAAGGUUGGUACUUGUCCCAACUGCGUGAGCCGCGCACGGGUGAGUAACGCGUGUGGCAUCUGCCUUUGAGUGGGGUACCACCUUUGGACUCGAAUGCUAAUACCGCAUAAAAACUUUAAACACAAGUUUUAAGUUUGAAAGAUGCCAUUGCAUCACUCACAGAUGAUCCCGCGUUGUUUUAGCUAGGUGGUGGGGUAAAGGCGCAUCAAGGCGAUGAUACAGAGCCGACCUGAGCGGGUGGUCGGCCACAUUGGGACUGUGACACGCCACAAACGCACACGGGAAGCAGCAGUAGUGAAACGGGGGCAAGGGGCGAAAGUCUGACCGAGAAGCGCCGCGGGAGGGAAGAGGGGUUUCGGAUCGUAAAUCACGGUUGGUAGGGAAGAACGUGGGUGAGAGUGGAAAGCUCAUCAAGUGACGGUAACUACCCAGAAAGGGACGGCUAACUACGUG